rnacentral:rRNA from 1 species
GAUGAACGCUGGCGGCGUGCCUAAUACAUGCAAGUCGAGCGAACGGACGAGAAGCUUGCUUCUCUGAUGUUAGCGGCGGACGGGUGAGUAACACGUGGAUAACCUACCUAUAAGACUGGGAUAACUUCGGGAAACCGGAGCUAAUACCGGAUGAUAUUUUGAACCGCAUGGUUCAAAAGUGAAAGACGGUCUUGCUGUCACUUAUAGAUGGAUCCGCGCUGCAUUAGCUAGUUGGUAAGGUAACGGAUUACCAAGGCAACGAUGCAUAGCCGACCUGAGAGGGUGAUCGGCCACACUGGAACUGAGACACGGUCCAGACUCCUACGGGAGGCAGCAGUAGGGAAUCUUCCGCAAAGGGCGAAAGCCUGACGGAGCAACGCCGCGUGAGUGAUGAAGGUCUUCGGAUCGUAAAACUCUGUUAUUAGGGAAGAACAUAUGUGUAAGUAACUGUGCACAUCUUGACGGUACCUAAUCAGAAAGCCACGGCUAACUACGUG